rnacentral:rRNA from 1 species
UACAGGGGGGGCAAGCGUUGUUCGGAAUUACUGGGCGUAAAGGGCUCGUAGGCGGCCAACUAAGUCCGACGUGAAAUCCCCAGGCUUAACCUGGGAACUGCGUGUGAUACUGGAUGGCUUGAAUUCGGGAGAGGGAUGCAGAAUUCCAGGUGUAGCGGUGAAAUGCGUAGAUAUCUGGAGGAAUACCGGUGGCGAAAGCGACUUCCUGGACCAAUACUGACGCUCAUGUGCGAAAGCGUGGGGAGCAAACAGG